GCACAAAUGAUCCAGAAGCAGCUGUAGAAGUCGUGGCAGUUUCAGUCCUCACGCUCGCUUUUGUUCAGUGUUUGUAUCCAUAUUUACAGCGUGAAAAACAACACACACCCGGAGCUUCAGCUGUGUGUACUGUCUCUCUGUGGUCUUUGUGGAAAACCCUUUAAACUGCUGGGACAGCAUCGCAGCAUCAUUUGACCUCUUUAUUGUAGUAGAUACAGUACCAGUCAAAUGCCUUAGUACCAGAUUUUAAGAGUAUCUAGUUUUAUUAGUUGUAUUGUUUGUGUUUACAAACACACAUACAUUUACAAAAAGUAUGUAUUGUAGAUUUUAUGGGAAUUGACAACAAAAAGAGGGGAAUUUCCCUCUGAAGCCCAUAUUUAUUAAUGUUUUUUGUGUAAUACAAAAAUGGCAAAAGGCACUCAGCUAAGCAGAGAAAAAAGAGAGUCUGUUAUCACUUUAAGAAAUCAAGGCCAAACAUUAAGACAAAUAGCAAAAGCACUGCAAGUGUCUGUUAGUACAGUAGCAAACACCAUCAAACGAGUUGAAGAAACUGGUACUCAUGAGGACCGAGAAAGAUCAGGGAGGCCAAAGGUCACCUCAGAAUCAGAAAAUAAGUUUAUUCAGGUCACAUGCCUACAAGACGGCCAGUUAAGCGCCCCUAAAAUACAAACACAGCUGAAUGCCAAAAGAACUUCAGUUGUUUCAAUAUCAACUAUUCAGAGAAGACUGCGAGAAGCUGGAUUAACCAGACGACAAAAAACAAAAAAUAAAAUAGCUCGGGCCAAAACAACAGAGAAACUAGAGAGCUGUGAUGUUAAAGUCAGCACUGCUACGUAGAUUAAAGGUCUAACUUAGGCCAGAACUGAUUUAGUGUAUGUCUUGGACAUUGUGAAGCAUGAUGCUUCCACUUUCCUUUCAAUCAGUCUAGCAAUACAUAAUGCCUAAUAAUGCUGCAUGGAUAAAUAUCUUCUCAUAUGAGAGCAGUUGCUGCCAAAAGUGAUUUUUCUCACCAUUUAAGUAUUUGAAUCCAAUAAGUGAUAAUGAGCUUGUUUCCUUACCGAGCCUAGAAUCUGGCCUGGGUGUAGACACAUUUUUUCAGGCCCUUAAACCCGGUUUACAUCUGGUCAAUUCACCCAUCUUGAAUAUCAGGAUUAAAUCUGGAUAUCGGCAAGCCGCAUUAACAUGUAAGUGUAAACGUACCCAAGACCCGUUUAAAACAGGUACAAAUCCAAUCACUCAAACAAUCCACUUCCCUUCAGCUGGUCUAAACUCAACCAGACCCUUCUCAGUACAACUGAAAGAACAACUGUACGUACAACCAGUGGUUAUUGCUCAAAUGCAUCUGGCUAAAAUGAUCUCAUCAGGAUACAAUCCAGAUUCUUAUCCAGAUUCGUUUCAUACAGUGACCAGUGUAAACGUAGUCACAGAUGCAUAAAAUAUAAAGAUCUUAUACUUUUGUCACUUGAAAUGCAGUAAUCCUUCUAAACUUCUUUAGUGUUCAUUGGCUUGGGUAAUCUAGUCUAUUGUAUUUUGAUCUGUCAACUUUCUGUGAACAUGACAGAGUCACAAAACGUAAAAAAAGGUUCAGAAAUCUGCUACUUUUGACUGGUACUGUUGAUGCUCUUUGUAAUAGACAGCCAUGUCUUUGGAUUAUUUUGCACUUGAGCCAAGUUGAUAAAAGGAGAGCCAUUUGGUAAUUAAUUGUAAAUGUCUCCUAGUAAACUGCAAAGAGGAAUCCCUGCCCCCCCCCCAUUCUGUGAAAACCUGUCUACAUGCUUUUCCAGCAUUCCAAGCCACAUCCAAUGUCCCCUGCCCAGAUGCCACCCUUCAUCUGUGGGACUGGACUCGUCUAUCAGGCUUCUAAGGUGGAGAUUUAAAUCUGAGCCAUCCUCUUUAGGUUCCCCCUCUUACUCUGUUUUACUGUUGGUGUAGGAGUAUUAAGGAUAUCCUACAGCAGGUUCAUGUCACGAGCACAGAAGAAGCAGAGCAGGAGGCUCUGUGUUCAGUGUGUGGAGAUGCAUCCGAAGAUCCAGGUCCUGAAAACAUGUAGCAUCGUAUAAGAGAAACCAAAGUGCUCAGGCGUGGAACAUGGACACGCUUACUCACAGAAUGGAGUAGAAAAGCUCAACCACAGACUCUCCUUGCUAAAUCCCAUGUUUUUGUGAGUUUAAUGGAUUAAUCUCACACCAGAGACCCACCAAACAGUGCUGAUCGUCACUGUAUCUAAUAGAUGUUUCAACUACGCUGAUAUCAGCUUCUCAAGCACUGUGGAAAAACAACAGUAUCCAAACGUACCUUUUAUUUUUCACAUUUGAAACUGGGAACUCCUAUGGGGUAAACUUUUGGAAUGUGUAAAUAAUAAUCCAGUUUGAGGAGAUCAUUGAGAUCAUGUUUGGUGUCAUGCAUGAUGAAUAAACGGUCUGCUAUAAAAAAAAAAACUCAAAUUUUCUUGUGUGUACAUUGACAGUAUGUAUACAGUAUGUUGUUUUUUUUUACAUUUUUUUUUUUACAUUUUAUUUUAAAGAACACUUGUAAAAUUCUCUUGUGCCUUACGAUCAGAAUAGCGUUUUGUCAUUUUUUAUGUCACUUUUUUGUUUUAUUCAGCAUUUUCCUUAUUUUCUGUUCUGUUUAGUAUGUUUGGAAAUAAUCUAAUCUAAUCUUAGACACUGACGCUGUUGUAAAAAAAAGUUUAAUAUAAUAUUUAAUAAAAUAACACUGUUUUUCUGAUAA